rnacentral:rRNA from 1 species
CCCGCAAGGGAUUAAUCGAUGGACCGCAGGGAAGAGAGAAUGCCGGCAUGAGUAGCGAGAGACGGGUGAGAAACCCGUCCGCCGAAAGCCCAAGGGUUCCUGGGGAAGGUUAAUCCGCCCAGGGUUAGUCGGGACCUAAGGCGAGGCCGAGAGGCGUAGUCGAUGGACAACCGGUUUAUAUUCCGGUACCACCAGCCAGCGCUUGAGCGAUGGGGGGACGCGGAAGGAUAGGCGAACCGCGGCGAUGGUCGACCGCGGGCAAGCGUGUAGGGCGCCGCCGAGUCAAACGCUUGGCGGCAUACCAGCCUGAGGCGUGAUGCCGACCCGCUUAUAGGGGAAGUCGCUGAAUCCAUGCCGCCGAGAAAAGCCCCUAGCGAGCUGUCUGGUGCCCGUACCCCAAACCGACACAGGUGGGCGAGUAGAGAAUACUAAGGCGAUCGAGUGAACCCUCGUUAAGGAACUCGGCAAAUUGGCCCCGUAACUUCGGGAGAAGGGGCGCCCCGUUAGCGUGACGGGACUUGCUCCCUGAGCGCGAGGGGGCCGCAGAGAACAGGCCCAAGCGACUGUUUACUAAAAACACAGGUCUCUGCUAAGUCGUAAGACGACGUAUAGGGGCUGACGCCUGCCCGGUGCCGGAAGGUUAAGGGGAAGGGUUAGCGGCCGGCUUCGGCCGGCGCGCGAAGCUCCGAACCUAAGCCCCGGUGAACGGCGGCCGUAACUAUAACGGUCCUAAGGUAGCGAAAUUCCUUGUCGGGUAAGUUCCGACCUGCACGAAUGGCGUAACGACUUGGGCGCUGUCUCAACGAGGGACUCGGCGAAAUUGCAUUGCCCGUGAAGAUGCGGGCUACCUGCAGCAGGACGGAAAGACCCCGUGAACCUUUACUGCAGCCUGAUAUUGGGUUCUGGUUCAUCAUGUGCAGGAUAGGUGGGAGGCUGUGAAGCGGGGACGCCAGUUCCCGUGGAGCCGUCCUUGGGAUACCACUCUUGGUGUGCUGGGGCUCUAACCGGCGGCCGUUAUCCGGUCGCGGGACAGUGUCAGGUGGGCAGUUUGACUGGGGCGGUCGCCUCCUAAAAGGUAACGGAGGCGCCCAAAGGUUCCCUCAAGCUGGUCGGCAAUCAGCUGUAGAGUGUAAGGGCAGAAGGGAGCUUGACUGCGAGACCCACAAGUCGAGCAGGUGCGAAAGCAGGGCCUAGUGAUCCGGCGGCAUCAAGUGGGAGAGCCGUCGCUCAACGGAUAAAAGGUACUCCGGGGAUAACAGGCUUAUCUCCCCCAAGAGUCCACAUCGACGGGGAGGUUUGGCACCUCGAUGUCGGCUCAUCGCAUCCUGGGGCUGGAGUAGGUCCCAAGGGUUGGGCUGUUCGCCCAUUAAAGCGGUACGCGAGCUGGGUUUAGAACGUCGUGAGACAGUUCGGUCCCUAUCCGCUGCAGGCGCAGGAGAAUUGAGGGGAGUUGCCCCUAGUACGAGAGGACCGGGGUGAACGGACCUCUGGUGUGCCAGUUGUCCCGCCAGGGGCACGGCUGGUUGGCUACGUCCGGACCGGAUAACCGCUGAAAGCAUCUAAGCGGGAAGCCGACCCCAAGAUCAGUUCUCCCACCGGGAAACCGGGUAAGACCCCUCGCAGAACACGAGGUUGAUAGGCCGGAUGUGGAAGCGCGGCAACGCGUGGAGCUGACCGGUACUAAUAGGUCGAGGGCUUGGUUCC